CAAGGCUGAGGUUCUAGGAGCUGUGCAUGUUGAAAGAGCUGCAUGCUGAGGAAGAGUUGCAAAGUGAAGUGGGGCAUAGGCUCUGUGGGUUUUGCUUUGAUGGAGUGGUCUUGGCAAGAGAUCCUGUGAAUGGUGCCGCACCCCCUUAAUCCCAGCGCUUGGGAAGCAGAAGCAGAUCUGUGACUUCAAGGCCAGCCUGGUCUACAGCAUGAGUUCCAGCCAAGCAAAAGCUACAUGGUGAGACCCUGUCUUGGGGGAGAAGGGUGAUGUCAUACAUACAGUGUUUCGUUUACUGCUGGCCAUGGUUUUCAAAGCAGUGAGAGAAUCAUUUCUCCAAAACACAGAGAGUAAGAGAGGCCAUGCAUUUGAAGACUUCCUACGUGAAAGGAGGAAAGGAAGCGACUCUUUGUUACACUUAGAUUAGAGAACCUUUGGGAGAGGAGAGGUCCCCUGUCACGGAGAGUCAUGUGUGCUUCGUGGCAGUUCUAGUUCCAGGUGUCUGAUAAUUCAGCACAGCAAAGAGAAAAAACUCUCUACUAAAAAGAGAUAUCCAGUAAAAGACAGUGUCGUUGGGAGGAAACAAUUCCAACAGUUGCUGAGGUGGAGAAAAACAUUCUCCAUAAAAAAAGAGUUUGCACUCAGGAGUUGAGAAGGUCCACCCCAGCCUUUCCUAAAAACUUUGUUCCACAGAGGCACCCCUAGCCCAGUUAGUGUGGCCUCUAGAGUUGGUACAGGACACUUCUCUGACCUGGGUGAGAGGAGAUCUGGGAUAGCUUCCUGAAGACGCAUGGUAGCAAGCUGACAAGGAUAUCAACAGGUGGAGAAGUAAGAGACAAGGAAGGCCACUGGGGAUGAAAGACCAGCUCCCUGGUCAAGGAACAAGACAUGAAUAAGACUUGGGAGACCACGGUGUCUCUUGUAACCUGCGGCAUAUCCUGUUUCCUGCAUUCCUCAUGUGACCAUCAGGGCCCUGGCUUCUUGGCCUUCUCUGUGACCAGAAAUCACCUGUCCAUAACAGAAUCUGUCUACCAUCACCAUCUUUUCAGUUGACAAGAAAGUCAAUGGAGCAAUUUUAGACAGACAAGCCACCCAGUGCCACCAUCAGAAUGUCAGUCCCUUACUGUACUACAGCAGACACCAGACACAGCCUCCUUGUAACCCAUCAAGUGGGACCAAGACUUCCUUGGGAUUCAUGAACUCAUUGAAAAAGCUGCACACGCAAUGAAGGAGAACAUAAAGCAGAAGGAGAGGUUUAUUCUGUACCGGAAUGGCUAUAUCCCUGGGCUGGGGAGCCUUCUGUGAGCUGACCUACAGCAGCAGCUGGUAGGCAUGCUCUUCGUGAGCUCCCCAUUCCUGGAGAACACCCCCUGUCUUCAUCCUCUGCACCUCCGCUACAGACAGGUUAGUUCUUGCUUACCUGGCCAAGCCCUGUUCCCUCUGCCCCACACCCCCACAGCCUAUACUGGUACUGAGAGAGAAAGCAGGAAGUGGUCUCCUGUAGACCAGCCCUUGGGGGACUACUCCAUGACGCCAGCUUCCCUGGCAGCCAGCAGUAUGGGCAGUUGUGACAAGGUGGAUGCCCAAGGAUAGCAGGCACUGAGGUCUGUGUCCCCAGGGGGCUUACACAGUGCCCUGCUGUACAUGAGUGCUGCAGCCUUGCUCAUAGCCCUUGACUACACCCAGAAUGCCUGUCUGUAAAUCUUGUAGCUGGAGUCUCUCUGUGCUUGGCACUAGAGUUCCUCUGGCCUGGGCCCAGAAUCCUCCUAUCCAAAACAAAAUGCUGACUCUCUUCCCAACAUAAAAACCUGUAUAGCUAAAUGUCCUGAUCCUAUACAUUCAGUGACUUCUGGCUGCAUGAGAACAAUGCCAAGUGCCAAG
rnacentral:lncRNA from 1 species